AGCGAACGCUGGCGGCAGGCCUAAUACAUGCAAGUCGAGCGGGCACUUCGGUGUCAGCGGCAGACGGGGGAGUAACACGUGGGAACGUACCCUUUGGUUCGGAAUAACGCUGGGAAACUAGCCCUAAUACCGGAUACGCCCUUUUGGGGAAAGGCUUGCUGCCGAAUGAUCGGCCCGCGGCUGAUUAGCUAGUUGGUGGGGUAAUGGCCUACAAAGGCGAAGAUCAGGAGCUGGUCUGAGAGGAUGAUCAGCCACACUAGGACUGAGACACGGCCCAGACUCCUACGGGAGGAAGCAGGGGGGAAUAUUGGACAAUGGGCGCGAGCCUGAUCCAGCCAUGCCGUGUGAGUGAGGAAGGCCUGAGGGUUGUGAAGCUCAUUUGUCCGGGACGAUAAUGACGGUACCGGAAGAAUAAGCCCCGGCUAACUUCGUG
rnacentral:rRNA from 1 species